rnacentral:tRNA from 1 species
GGUGGGUUCGCCUAAUGGUAUGGCACUGGUUUCGAAAACCAGCAGGAGCAAUCCUUUAGAGGUUCGAGUCCUCUACCCACCGCCA